rnacentral:rRNA from 1 species
AGUGAACGCUGGCGGUAGGCCUAACACAUGCAAGUCGAACGGCAGCACAGAAGAGCUUGCUCCUUGGGUGGCGAGUGGCGGACGGGUGAGGAAUACAUCGGAAUCUACUCUGUCGUGGGGGAUAACGUAGGGAAACUUACGCUAAUACCGCAUACGACCUACGGGUGAAAGCAGGGGAUCUUCGGACCUUGCGCGAUUGAAUGAGGCGAUGUCGGAUUAGCUAGUUGGCGGGGUAAAGGCCCACCAAGGCGACGAUCCGUAGCUGGUCUGAGAGGAUGAUCAGCCACACUGGAACUGAGACACGGUCCAGACUCCUACGGGAGGCAGCAGUGGGGAAUAUUGGACAAUGGGCGCAAGCCUGAUCCAGCCAUACCGCGUGGGUGAAGAAGGCCUUCGGGUUGUAAAGCCCUUUUGUUGGGAAAGAAAUCCAUCUGGUUAAUACCCGGGUGGGAUGACGGUACCCAAAGAAUAAGCACCGGCUAACUUCGUGCCAGCAGCCGCCGUAA